AAAUCGGUCCUUUUCAGGACCACUAAAGUUAUUAAUCAAAAGAGAA
rfam:Drosophila willistoni strain TSC#14030-0811.24 scf2_1100000009165 genomic scaffold, whole genome shotgun sequence.